rnacentral:lncRNA from 7 species
AGUUCUCUGAGAGAUACUGGGGUAUGCAGGAUGCAGAAGAAGGUCUUAGUUUCACUGCACAGUUUGACAGGGCAAUAACAGAAAAGCCUGAUUUUUUCUGGGCCCUGAAAGAGGAAACUAGAAUACAGCCAGUUACUUAUCCUGCUGUUAUGGUUACUGGUACAACCACCUGGGCCUAUGAAUAGUCCUAGUGCUCACCUGUGCUACUCUGCUAGCAUCUUGCAGUCACAAUUAGCAAAUGCCAUGCUUCUUUCUCAAGUCCUUUUCAUCCUUCUCAGUUUGGACACCUUCAGAACAACAAACAAACAAAAUACCUAAUUACAAUGGCGCUGGUAUGUUCUGUAUUGUGCCUGCUGACAGCUAGAAAUGGAACUGAAACCACUCUCCUAUUCUGCACAGUGGAUUAAAACAGCAGGCAAUAAAAUUAGUCAUGCUCAUCACAAGGCUGGUGUUUAAUUAAUGACCUAGCAGCAAAAGGCUCCCAGCUGAUCAUUACAACAGCUUCUAGAGAUUCCUUCAGCACACUUUGCUGUAUAAGACUAUUGACAUGCAGACAGCGUGCAAACUGACUGGGAAAAAUGAAGUGGUGUCAAGAAUGUUUUGGCUGUAUUAACUCUGGAUAUGUCCUUGCUGCCCUGGGGUUUUGGUCUAAAACACAAUAUUGUUUGAAGGUACUCUGUAGCUUUCAAUAUCAAAUUCCAAUAAAAGGAAAGGAGUAGAAUG